rnacentral:lncRNA from 1 species
UAAGAACAAAAAACACAAAAUGAAGUGAAUUGAAGUGCGAAAUCUAGUAAAUCUAAUAAAUUUAUGUUUUGAGACGCUACUGCUGUUAAAAACUGUUGUACUGUUAAAACAAAUACUGUAAAAAAUAUUGUUCUAAGAAAUUAGAUAAUUGUGUGGCAUUAUAAGUUGAAUAAAUGUUUUUGUUGAGAUUCGAUGGUCAAAUCUAUUUCAGUUUCGUGAAAAUUGGGGGGAGGGGGGAAAAAACUUCUUUCAAAAGAAUGGGAGAUCUCCAAACAAUUUUUUUCAAAAAGAAUGGGAAUCUUGCUUUUCCUAAAGACAGAUUACGUUAUUUUUCACCUGAUUUCACAUAGCCUAAAUUACAAAUGCAACCGAGCUGAGUUUAGGUUAUAUAUAAAAAAGAUAGCAAUUAAGGUUACAUAAGAAUUUACGAAAAUGAUGAAAAGCGGAUGAAGCUGAGGCUGAGCAAACAAUGUUGUGUGUACUUAGUUAGAGUUGUCCCAACAAAGAAGCAUAACAAUGCAAAGCCUGAUUAUGUAAACCUUUGCUCUCACUUGUCUCCCAAUCUUCUUCCACCUUGCAAAUCUCUCUGCUGACCUUCCUCCCAUGCCUCCUCUGUCAUGCAAGCCGACACCCUCCUUAUCCUCAACUACAACUAUCUGUGAUAUGUCUAUACACUGUACUCUUGUACCAAACUGCUCAUUCAUCACUCAUAUACAACAGGUUUAGAUAUAUAUGUGCACAUUAAUAGAUUGUUGUGACCAGCCGUAUCAGAUCACAAGUGACUUAUGGUACCUGUGGCGUAGGGUCCAGAUUUAUGUACUCUCACUAAGCACCAAGUCACCUACUAACUAAACGCGUACUCUAUGGUGCAAAUUACUCAAUCACCUUGCGGCCUUUCA